rnacentral:lncRNA from 1 species
CCUUGAAGCAGCAAUUGCCCUUAAAACAUCAUCCCUGCCCUGGAUCGGCCUGGAGCCAGUGCCCAAGUACGGUUUGCUUCCAUGUUGGCCAUGGGUCAGGUGAAUGGAUGGAGCUCCAAGCGGGGCUCAGCCCAUUGACCCGAGCGAGGCGCACACACCUGCAGCGUGGAUCAAGCGCACUCUCUCCAGCAUCGCCCUGACCAUUCCAUGUGCUUUGUCCUAGCAUGUUCAUUCUUGACUUUCUCCACUUCAUUUUAUUAAAAAGUUAAAUGCUUUAGGAAUCUGUGGCGUGUGGCCACUGACCGCCCCCCACCUCCUGCCGCUCCUCCAAGUUUGAGCUGAGAUGGUUCUGUGAGUCCUUGGCAGGGGUCAAAGGGCACAUCUCCUUGAACCUAGAAAGCCCCCUACACUCUCAGAGGACACCUCUCCUGUGGAUUCAGCGCUGGGGCAGUGAAGGUGUCGGGAGCCAGCAGAGCAUGGUGCGUGCUGCCAGCUGCCGGCCAGCCGGGAUAGAGGAGAUGCCACUGGCCCUCCGUGCCCCCAGCCCCUCC